UGAGCAAUCUGCCCUUCNCAUCGGAAUAAGCGUUGGAAACGACGUCUAAUGCCGAAUACGACCUCCUUUCGCAUGAUCGGAGGUGGAAAGCUCCGGCGGAGAAGGAUGAGCUCGCGGCCUAUCAGCUAGUUGGUGUGGGUAAUGGCCCACCAAGGCGACGACGGGUAGCCGGCCUGAGAGGGUGACCGGCCACACUGGGACUGAGACACGGCCCAGACCCUCGGACGG
rnacentral:rRNA from 1 species